rnacentral:tRNA from 3 species
GGGCCCGUGGCCUAGCGGUGGGGCGUCCGGCUGAUAACCGGAAGGUCGCGGGUUCGAAUCCCGCCGGGCCCA